rnacentral:rRNA from 1 species
AGGCAAUAUUCAGCAAUGCCGGAAAGCCGAAGAGAGCAACGCCGUGUGAAAGAUGAAUGUUCUGGGAAGAAAAACCUUUGUUUUAAUGGAAGAAAAAAAUGACGGUACCAUAAGAGAAAGCCCCGGCUAACUCCGUGCCAGCAGCCGCGGUAAUACGUAGGGGGCAAGCGUUGUUCGGAAUCAUUGGGCGUAAAGGGCGUGUAGGCGGCAUAAUAAGUCAGAUGUGAAAGUCCAGGGCUCAACCCUGGAAGUGCAUUUAAAACAGCUAAGCUUGAGUGCAGGAGAGGGAAGUGGAAUUCCUGGUGUAGCGGUGAAAUUCGUAGAUAUUAGGAGGAACACUGGUGGCGAAGGCGGCUUUCUGGCCUGUAACUGACGCUGAGGCGCGAAAGCGUGGGGAGCAAACAGGAUUAGAUACCCUGGUAGUCCACGCCGUAAACGAUGAUCACUAGGUGUAGGUGGUAUUGAUAAUCAU